UUCAGGGUCUUGAGCAUGGACAACAGGCAGUCGAUGAGGCUGAUUUUACUGCUCAAGUGUAUCAACUGAAACUCCUUGAGUACGUGGAAAAAAUUAAGACUGGACAGGUGUUUGGGCAUGUAGUUACUGUCCUCCACUCCGUGGACUUCCAGAAGAGGAGUCUGCCCCAUGCACAUAUCCUUGUUUGGCAGAAAAAAGAUUAUGGGCAGGGAUCUGCGUCCACUAAUGUUGAUGAUGAUGCUCUUGCGAUUGCACAUGCUAACACCAUGGAGGCUGCACUUCGCUGAUUUGGAUCUAACAACUAAAGCCCUGUGCACAAAGACAAGUGAAAACUGCUUUGCCAUUGCUGUUUUCACACGAUUGGCCAAGUGCCCAGAAUAGCCUGUUACUAUGUUUGUCGCAUGUUUGCAAACCAAGUGUUUGGCAACCCCCAAUCAUACAUUUCCUUAUUUAUGAUCUGAACUAGGCUAUUUUCGUGCUCUAUGGAUAUCGUUAUUAACCC